UAAGUGUUCUUAAUGGAAUUGAAUUAAAAUCUAAAUUUUAAGAAAUAAUGUAGAAAGGACAAGAACCUCUGCGAGGAAAUUUAUAGGAAUGAAAACCAUUUCUCGAUUUGAAAAGGGAAAUUUCGGCUAAUGGUGACCUGUUAUUAAAAUGUUAAACUUCUUCCUGCCUAUAUACUUGGUAAUUAUAUUGUUUAGAUAGCCGAACUUCAAUAGGACUCAUAGAGCUUUCUUCUGCAACUCUUAAAUACGCCAAUUUUAUUAAGAUAUUCGGUUAUUAAAGAAAAACUGUCAAUUGUUUUGGUUGCUCUGACCUCGAGACUGACGAGAGACAUAAUUAUGCGGCAUGCUCUCUGAACGGUUAAUUUUCAGAUAUGUUUUAAUAAUGUUGGUUAUAUAUAUAUUUGUCUAGACCAGAAGAGAAUUUAUUAAAGCAAACCUUGCAAGGUUACUUUUAUUUAAUUUUUAGUUACUAAUCUUCACGAAAAUUAGUUUAUUACUAAUUUUUGCAACAAUCUUUACCCAACUGAUCGUGUCAGGUAACUGGUAACCAAUUGACCGUGUCAGGUAACUGGUAACCAACUGACAGUGUCAGGUAACUGGUAACCAACUGACCGUUUCAGGUAACUGGUAACCAACUGACCGUUUCAGGUAACUGGUAACCAACUGACCGUGUCAGGUAACUGGUAACCAACUGACCGUGUCAGGUAACUGGUAACAACUGACUGUGUCAGGUAACUGGUAAUCAACUGACCGUGUCAAGUAACCGGUAACCAACUGACUGUGUCAGGUAACUAUUGGUAUUAAUAAUAUGUUAAUAUUUUGAUAUUAUGUUGUCUGAAAUAAUUUGUAAAUACGCACCGUAGGCAAUGUAGCAACCAUAUAUAUAUAUAUAAGAUAUUAUAUAUUAACUAGUAUUCUAAUUACACCAAAAAUAUAUGGAUGUGUAGAUGUGGUGAAUAGCAUUUAUUUGAUUAGGAUAAAGAAAGAAUAUAUAUUUAUCGCCUG